AUUGAACGCUGGCGGCAGGCCUAACACAUGCAAGUCGAGCGGAUGAAGGGAGCUUGCUCCUGGAUUCAGCGGCGGACGGGUGAGUAAUGCCUAGGAAUCUUCCUGGUAGUGGGGGAUAACGUCCGGGAACGGGCGCUAAUACCGCAUACGUCCUGAGGGAGAAAGUGGGGGAUCUUCGGACCUCUCGCUAUCGGAUGAGCCUAGGUCGGAUUAGCUAGUUGGUGGGGUAAUGGCCUACCAAGGCGACGAUCCGUAACUGGUCUGAGAGGAUGAUCAGUCACACUGGAACUGAGACACGGUCAAGACUCCUACGGGAGGCAGCAGUGGGGAAUAUUGGACAAUGGGCGAAAGCCUGGUCCAGCCAUGCCGCGUGUGUGAAGAAGGUCCUCGGAUUGUAAAGCACUUUAAGUUGGGAGGAAGGGCAGUAAGUUGAGACCUUGCUGUUUUGACGUUACCAACAGAAUAAGCACCGGCUAACUUCGUG
rnacentral:rRNA from 1 species